rnacentral:rRNA from 1 species
ACUCGACCCCAUGAAGUCGGAGUCGCUAGUAAUCGCAGAUCAGCAACGCUGCGGUGAAUACGUUCCCGGGCCUUGUACACACCGCCCGUCAAGUCACGAAAGUUGGUAACACCCGAAGCCGAUGGCCCAACCCCUUUUUUGGGGAGGGAGUCGUCGAAGGUGGGACCGGUGAUUGGGACUAAGUCGUAACAAGGUAGCCGUACCGGAAGGUGCGGCUGGAUCACCUCCUUUCUAAGGAGA